GGCGCCAAAGCGAAAUGACGGGGUGCGACCCGGAAGGACGCUCAGCGGAGAACCCCAGAAAUGAAGAGUUUAAGCCAGAAGGGGGAAUUUAUUAUUAGGGUACAAGAAUAUCUCCAGAAUACAGCUGGGCUCUAGGGAUAAACUGGAGCCAGGUAGCUGUUUUAAGCAUUUUACAUAUUUAAUUCUUACAGCAACUCAUUUAAUCCUCACAACAACCUAUGAGGUGGUGUGGCUGCACCUAUUUUAUGGAUGAGAAAACUGGGACCCAUGGCUUGUCUGAGUUCACCCAGAAAGGCAUAGCUGCAGCUCACCAGCACUCCUCAAUGCUCCUCAGCAAGUGGAACAAGUCUCCCACCCCCUGGGAAACCCUGGAGUGGAAGAGGCGGCAGCAGCUGGAGAACAAAGUAGUAGAAGUAAAGGAAGCCACUCACAGGAUAUAAACUUCCCUUUAUCUACCAAGCUGAGGAGCAGUCUUCUGCCUGUGUGAACCAGGGAGAAGUUUGAGAAUUUAAAAAAAAAUCUAAUUACCCUGAAUAAUUAGAUUCAACCUGUUUUAUUUUCAUCUGUUUUA